UCAGAUCCGGCAGACGAGAGGAAGGGGCGGCUGGCAGGACAAGGUGCGCCCGGGUCCUUCAAAUCUAGCAUGGCGGGGCCCAACGAGGCUCCGGAGGUGUUGGCAUGCGGCGUGGCUGGCGGUGAGUACAAGCACCUCUCCCUUCUCUCUCCCUCUCGCCCUCUCUCUCUCGUGCGGGGUAGGUCGCGAGGGCGGCCGGCGGGCCGCGGCUGGCAGUGUUGCAGGGGCGUCCGGUGGGGUGUGGGGCCCAAUUUCUUUCUUUUUUUUGUUUUCGAUAAUGGGCAUCACCGCUGGUUCCCCAUCUGGCGAUGAUAGGGGGGUAUCACCACCGACCCCAAAAUCGGCAGUGAUGGAUGGUUUGGGGUCGGCGGUGAUGUUGUAUUCUGUAGUAGUGCUUCUU
rnacentral:lncRNA from 1 species